rnacentral:rRNA from 1 species
CGUACGCUGGCGGCACGCNUAACACAUGCAAGUCGAACGCAGUAGCAAUACUGAGUGGCGAACGGGUGAGUAUAAUGUGGGUAUCUGCCUUUUGGUUUGGAAUAACACGAGGAAACUUGUGCUAAUACCGGAUAAGCCCUGACGGGGAAAGUUUUAACGCCAAAAGAUGAGCCCGCACUUGAUUAGCUAGUUGGUAAGGUAAUGGCUUACCAAGGCUACGAUCAAUAGCUGUUCUUAGAGGAAGAUCAGCCACAUUGGGACUGAGACACGGCCCAAACUCCUACGGGAGGCAGCAGUGGGGAAUCUUGCACAAUGGGGGAAACCCUGAUGCAGCGAUGCCGCGUGAGUGAAGAAGGCCCUUGGGUUGUAAAGCUCUUUCGUCGGGGAAGAAAAUGACUGUACCCGAAUAAGAAGGUCCGGCUAACUUCGUGCCAGCAGCCGCGGUAAUACGAAGGGACCUAGCGUAGUUCGGAAUUACUGGGCUUAAAGAGCACGUAGGUGGUUAAGAAAGUUGGUGGUGAAAUCCCAAGGCUUAACCUUGGAACUGCCACCAAAACUUUUUAACUAGAGUAUGAGUGAGGUAAGCGGAAUUUCUAGUGUAGAGGUGAAAUUCGUAGAUAUUAGAAAGAACACCAAUUGCGAAGGCAGCUUUCUGGUUCAUUACUGACACUGAGGUGCGAAAGCAUGGGUAGCGAAGAGGAUUAGAUACCCUCGUAGUCCAUGCCGUAAACGAUGUGUGCUAGACGUNGGAAAUUU